UGGAAGAACAAAAAGCUCUGACUGUGAAAGUAUGUUCUGGUGAGAUGGAGGAAAUAUUUUCCUGCUUCUUCUACCACUGGAAUGAAGGACAAGUGCUUUGAACAUGAUUCCGAAGAGAUUGGCCUUGAACCUUUGGCACUGAAAGAUAUUGUGGAAGCCUUGCCCAGCACCCUCCACAGACCUGCCUUCUCCUCUCCACGCUCUUCUCUGACAGUCACAUGCUGAUUCCAGCCAAACCUAGAUCUGGGGCCACAGCAAGGUGACGGGAACCCAGAGAAGCGGGGGACCCAUGUGUGCAGGGUGCAGGAAGAGCUCUGGGAAGAGGGUGAGAUUCGCACAUUCACUGCCAUUCCUUUCCAUUUCCCAUCAGAGUGACCAAGGGGUACACGAACGUCACUACAUGAAUGAUGACCUUCUUUGGAGGAUACUUUACAAUUUUUAAGGACAUUCACGAUCUGAGCUUUGUAAAUUACAGUUGGAGCCAGAAGCCAAGCCAGUCUCAGCUGCUGAGGGUCCCCUGUCACCUAACUUUCCUGGGCCUCAGUUUCCUUUUCUACGCAUCCAGGAGCUUGGACAGGAAACCUGAAGUUCAAUAUUAUUUAAAAUGCUAGUGUUGUCACCCUCAGAGUCUGGAAAUGUGCUCCUAAUUCUAGGCUUAAACUGCUUACUAGGGUGUCUUAGCACCUGCCUCUUGACUGGCAGAACAUUUUCCCAAAGAACAGCAGAGGCAACUCCUUGUUGGGGAGUCCUUCCAAUUCUUUUCUGGCCUUCAUGGUGACACCUGAUAUCAACACCCAGUUCCUUUCUGUGGGUGUGGACUAGGGUUUAUGCACGGCCACCUGCAGAGCCUAGGGCCUGAUUCUCAGAGGCGCUCAGAGGGGGACCCGUCCUUGAAGCUGCAUUAUCUACAGCACAGGCAGAGAGAAUGCAAACACACUCAUCACCCAGUGCCAUUUCCCCAUGUUCCCCUCUGAAGUAUUCCUGCGCUGUUCUAUAUUGGGAAGUGCCAUUUCUGAGGAGAAGAUGAAGGAUGGUAGAAACUGAAGAAUUUUAUACUAACAGCCAAAAUAUGGGGAGGUGGAAAUUACAGAAGAGGACAUUUCCAACUGAUUUGUGAUCUAAAAAUCUCAAAGUACUCUGUAUCUCCCAUUUAUUCUUAGAACCUAUUAAUCAGAAAAGCCCCAGUCAAUUAAUGCAACUAUAUAUUAUCAUAGUAUCAUUAAGGAUCUGAGAACCCUGACCUCCCCGACCUUUAUUAAUUGCAAAAUACAUAGAAUUUUAUACUCAUUUAAGGGGUGAGCAGUAUUUUUGCAUAUGGAGAGAACAAAAAAAAGGCCCCGGGGCUGGGGUUGUGGUUCAGUGGUAGAGUGCCUACCUCAUAGGUGUGAGGCACUAGGUUCGAUUUUCAACACCACAUAAAAAUAAAUAAAUAAAAUAAAGAUUCAUCAACAACUAAAAAAAAAUUAAAGAGAAAAAGAAGGCACCUCCAGAAGACUGUCUCCUUUACCCAAGCUCUGUCCUGUUAUCACUGCUUCCUGUAUUUUGCCUGUACAUACUGGAUGCUUGACAAGAAUUUUUUCAUCUAUUCAAUAGACAUUUAU